rnacentral:misc_RNA from 1 species
CUGGGCGUCAACUGACGCUGAGGACGAAGCUGGGAGCGAUCAGGAUAGAUACCUGUAGUCACGCGUAACCGUUGAUGCUGAUGUGGGGGACAUCACGUCUCGGUCGAGCCAACGCGUAGCAUCCGCUGGGGGAGUACGCCGCAAGGCUAAAACUCAAAGAAAUGACGGGGGCCCGCACAAGCGGCGGAGCAUGCGGAUUAAUUCGAUGCAACGCGAAGAACUUUACCUGGGCUUGACAUGUUCCCGACAGCCCCAGAGAUGGGGCCUCCCUUUCGGGGCGGGUUCACAGGUGGUGCAUGGUCGUCGUCAGCUCGUGUCGUGAGAUGUUGGGUUAAGUCCCGCAACGAGCGCAACCCUCGCCCUGUGUUGCCAGCACGUCGUGGUGGGAACUCACGGGGGACCGCCGGGGUCAACUCGGAGGAAGGUGGGGAUGACGUCAGAUCAUCAUGCCCCUUACGUCCAGGGCUUCACGCAUGCUACAAUGGCCGGUACAACGGGAUGCGACCUCGUGAGGGGGAGCGGAUCCCUUAAAACCGGUCUCAGUUCGGAUUGGAGUCUGCAACCCGACUCCAUGAAGGCGGAGUCGCUAGUAAUCGCGGAUCAGCAACGCCGCGGUGAAUGCGUUCCCGGGCCUUGUACACACCGCCCGUCAAGUCAUGAAAGUGGGUAGCACCCGAAGCCGGUGGCCCAACCUUUUUGGGGGGAGCCGUCUAAGGUGAGACUCGUGAUUGGGACUAAGUCGUAACAAGGUAGCCGUACCGGAAGGUGCGGCUGGAUCACCUCCUUUCUACGGAGAAUACAGUCCAUGUUUUUGGACAGUGUGAGCCACAUGGACGCCGGCAGUCGGCGUCGUUGUUGUGGAUGCUGGUGUGGAAGAGAUCAUGGGCUUGGAUGUCCCGUCGGGAUGUCCGGGAGUGGUAUGGGUAUGCUUUUGGGCUCCCGGACCGCCACCCCACAGGUUUUCUGUGGCGCGGUUCGAUGCCCAUGCGUGGUGGCCGGUCCUGGGUGGCUGGUCGGAUCGUGUGGCGCGUGGUGGUUUGAGAACUGGAUAGUGGACGCGAGCAAGAGAAACUGAAAGAACGUUUCUUUUUGCUUAUCGCGAUUUCGCCAAACUCUUCAUUGAGUUUGGUUUCGAGAUCGAUCGUUUUGUGAUCAUUUUAGUGUUAAGAUUUGUCGUCUGGCGAUCUUGCUAUCAGGAAACCCGCGGGUGGGACAAUGGUCUUGCCGUACA